UUUUCCUCUUUUCUCCUCAAUUCCUUGAUUCUUCUUUCACACGCUCCUUUGAUUUUAGUCAAUCCAAACCCUAAUUGUUCCUCUCUCUCCAAUCAAUCCAAACCCAAAUUGUUCGCCUGUAUACGUUUCAUCUUUCUCAAAUUCAUCUAUCUCAAUGUCCAAACUUAAAUGCGAAGAAAAAAAUAAGCCAAUGGAUCUUCUAUUGAUUUCUCAAACUCAAACCCUAAUGGCGAUUUCUGAAACUCAAAUCCUAAAGGCGAUUCGAAGAAAAAUCUAAGCCAAUCGAUUGGAUCUUCUGUUGAUUACUCUUUUUCUAAUCUUCUAUGAAUCAUGGUCCCUCAACCAAGGUGGGUUAUGAUGGGGAUGCCAAUGGUGGGAUGAUUACUCGAGAUACGUAACCCCUGUUGUAGUUGAUGAUCAGGUAUACAUUCACAAGAUGAUCAGUUGAGUUUUAUUGGCUGGAACACAAGAUUUGUUUCAUAAAUUCUUUUACAUUAAGCAAAAAAAAGAGGAUUUUUGAAAGAUGUAUGAUGUUAAUGUCAAGAAGCCAUUUGAUAACCUUGGAAGGGAAAAGUUUUUUGUUCAGCCCUUCGGAUCCUGAAAAAUUCCCAUUUGUUGUGUGGAGGAAUAAGGUAGACGCUAAUGGAGGCAAUAGUCAACUGAUGCAAAUAAGAGUCUACAAGGUUCAAGAAGAAAGUGGAGAGAUGAUUUGGUUUUAGGCGAUAGUUGAUAAGGUUAUGGUGGGGGUGAGUGUCUUAUUAAUAUUGACUGGUAUGGCUUUUAUAUAUUUCUUUAGUUUAUGUGGCUAAUACCCGAUUGUCAGAGCACACACCCGAUUUUGGACUCAAAACCCGAUAUUCUUUUACAUUGUCAGUUGUCAAGGACUUUAUUUUUAAAUAUUUUUCACAGAUAAGCACAAGAAAGAUUUGUUUGAAGCUCUAGAGAAGGUCAAAGCUGAGUUGAUGAUUCUGGGGUUCAUCUCACUGAUAUUGACUUUUAAUCAGUAUUACAUUGCGGAAAUAUGCAUCCCAGUUGAUGUUGCUGAUACAAUGUUGCCAUGUGCUAUAAAAGAUAAAACGGAGAAAAAAGAAAAAGGAGCCCGUCGAUUUCUUCUAUGGUACGAGCAUGGUAGAUCAUUGGCUGGUGACUUAAAGUCUACCUGCAAGGAGGUGAAUAAUUAGUUAGUCAUUCCAUCUUAAGCAAUGUGUAUGAAGGGUGGCAAUAGUGUCGGAUUGGCGGGUUGAAUCUGCAAGGAGGUGAAUAAUUAGUUAGUCAUUCCAUCUUAAGCAAUGUGUAUGAAGGGUGGCAAUAGUGUCGGAUUGGCGGGUUAAAUUGAAUAUGACCCAUAUAUUUAUGCGUCUCAAAUAUAUCAACACUAACCCAGACAGUACACUAUUACACUAAGAAUCAUGCAAACCGAACAUGACCUGUCUACUCAUUUAUAUAUAUGGGUCAAACGGGCUAACCUGUUUUACAUGGGUUGGUGGUUGUAAGUCGGUCUCAAUCGGUUAAUCGGGUCAUACUUGGGCUGUAAUAAAUGGGUUAAAUGGAUCGUAAUGGUGCUGGUGGGUUAAUCGGGUCAUAUUUGCUGAAGUUUAGUUAUCCUUCAUUAAUAUAGUUUUUUGGUUAGUUAUAUUUUACUCUGGAAUGGGUUGCAUCAAUCUUUGGGGUACCAACUGAAUUAAUAAGAAAUUUUUGGUCUUUCUUAUCACACUAUGAUUUAGUAGUCUAAAAACUUCAUUAGUAACACCAAGUGUACUUUUCAGGCUCAUGGGUACAAGACAGUAUUAAUGAUCGGUAGUUGUUUUGUACCAAUUCGACUGAGUGAAUUCAAAUGUAUUAAAGAAUAUACUCCAAAUGAAAACGAAUGGACUUUACCAAAUUGAUGUCGAGUGUCCAUGAAAAAUACCGGUACUAAACUGAACCGUACCUAUUGAAUUUUGCCACCUAUUUUUUGUAUUUUUCGGGAUUGGUACUUCCGAUUCGGCAUGAAACGGUAUUUUACCCAAUUUUUUUACCUUUGAAUACUGUACUUCGAUGCCGGUACCGCUACCAAAUUUUCUGAAAAUUAAAUCCAAAAACUUGCAGAUUUUUUCAGAAAAAAAUCCCAAAAAAUAGCAUACUUUUCAGCAAAAAAACGUUAAACAAGUGCAGGUUUUUGCAGCACCCGGUUCCGCCAAAAAAACCACAAUUUUACCAGCAAAAAAACAUCACAAAAUGCAGGUUUUUUCUGCGAAAAAACACAAAAAACGCAAUUUCUUUCGGCGAAAAAGGCAACCAGCAGCAGCGUCGCUGCCGGUUUUUUCGACAGACGAAAAUGCGUCGUUGCAGGUUUUUUGAACUGACGAAACGUUGUUUUUUUUCAGCGAUCUGCAGCUGCAGGUUUUUUGGACUGACGAACCGAUUCAGCUGGGAAUAGUUUGGGUUUUAGUCAAAGCAACUUAACUAACAUUCAUACCUUUGAUUAUGCAGAGUGUUAGUUGUCACAACUUUUAUCAUCCUUGGAUUUAGCAAUCACCAAUCACCUGGUUACUACUUGGCGCCACAAAUCCAUAAUUCAGCCGAGCACCAUCGCCGCUACAAACUCUCAGACCGCUGAUCAUUUGCAUGGACUUGACAGUUGGUCUUAGGGAUUGGGAUAACCGAAACGCCUAAAGACGACUUUUGUAGUGGAUUGGGAUAACCUGGGAAUAACAAAUUAGUUUUCAUGGACGGUUAAUCUUAUAAGUUUGAUCUUGAAGACUUACUUCUGCCUCUUCUGAAGCUCUGGGAAAGGGCGGUUAUGGUACAACUUAUAAAGUUGUUUCAGGCGAAGGAACAAUGGUGGUCAUAAAAAAAGGCUGAGAGAAGUUGUCGUUGGAAAAAGAGGAUCCGACCAGCAAAUGGAAAAAGAGAAAGCCAUAAUUAGGGGACAUGGACAUGUUUCCGUAAGUAUAAAUGAAUCUUGAAACGUUCUUUUUUCAUAGUAUUGCUGAAAAAUCUGUAAUUAAGAAGUACCAGUGACAAAUAUCAGUUCUUAAACAAGAGCUUGAUCAGCUUAAAGGGGGAUAUAGGGAUGCUUAUUGGUGAGAUAGUGACUUUAAAACAAAAGGUAAUAUUUCAAUUUUUGGAUAAUGUUUCUGGUAGGCCACAUAUAUAUUGAAGUAAAUUAUAGGCCGUCUAAGUAUGUCUCCAGUUUUUAUAUAUACUUAAAAGGUGGGACAGACAUGUAGUCAGGGUAACGGGUCAACAUGAGUUUGGGUUCAAAAUUAAAAUUGAGUUAAAAUACUACUGGAUUAAGGCGUCAACUUUACUCCUAAAAUUACUCAUAAUAAUAUCCUAUAAUUUUUUACAAUACUUAUUAAAAUAUCCGACUUCAUUACUUAGCUAUUUAUCAUUCUUUCUUGAGUAAAUUACAAGAAUCCUCCUUUAUGUAUGUCACUUAUUGUAAACUGUGUCCUUUAUCUUCAAUAACUAAAGAAAACGUACUCGAUGUUUGUAAACCCUUGCAAGUUAUGUCCUUUAGCCCUAACUCAAUUAAUUUUUUGUGGUUAAAUCUGACCAAAUGGACAUCACAUGAGGGUAUUUUGGUCAUUUUACUUUCAUGUGAGGUCGAUUUGGUCAGACUUAACCACAAAAAUACCCUCAUAUGGGGUCUAUUUGGUCAGAUUUAACCACAAAAAUUAACUGAGUUAGGGCUAAAGGACAUAAGUUGCAAAGGUUUGCAAACAUCGAGUACGUUUUUGGUAAUUAUUGAAGACAAAGGGCUCAGUUUGCAAUAAGUGACAUACAUAAAGGAUUACUUUUGUAAUUUACUCUUCUUUCUUUAAACAAAAUACAACUGAUUCUAGCAUGAAAUAUACUCCUAAAAUUAUUCAGGUGUAUAGGCUAACAUAAAUAAGGUAUUGGGAUGUCUUAAUGCUCAAAAUGUCCGGUUUGUAAUCUUAUUCGAGGAUCGAUAUGCUCUGGGUCUUUUAUACGCUUUUGGAUCGAAACUUAAAUAGGCAAAGUUAAUUUCAAAUGUCUUUUUCCUUCCUUAUUUCGGUUGGAAAGGAACAAACUAUGUGUGGUUAGUGAUAUAUUACGGAGGGAAGGAAAUGUUUUAUCCUUCUCUUGGAACUGGAGUGUAGCGCCCUCUACAAUCUUCAGCCGGUAAGCGUUUUACCAUUACGUUUUGUUUGAAAUAUAAUUCCUUUUUUUAUAAUUACAUCAUUUAACUUUUGAAUGGUUGAAAAUUAAAAGGUUUGAUGUAGUUGUACAAAUAACGAAUGGUUGAUCUAAGAGCUCAGUUUAUGAUUUAUGAUUCUGGAACCAAACAAAGACAGGGUACGUGAGUCUCAUGUGAUGAUACUAGAAAAUUUGUCCUGUCGCCCAAGAUGAUGGCCUGGGUCAAGCUUCAAGGUACACACAAAGUGACGAUAGCACAAACUUGAGACACAAUGAGAGUAGAGUAGUGCAUCAGGUAUAUUUAAUGACCAAAGGACUCAUUUAGACAAUAAUUUUUUAUGAGUUUGUGAAGCAUGAAAUCAGCAUUUGGUAAUUUUGCUUGAAAAAGAAAAUGCAUAUGGGAUAAUAUUUGAUAAAUCUUAAUGAGAUCAACUACUUUAUUUCUUGA